GCCCUUGGUGUAUUAGGGGCCCCAACAAGUGGGGCUGCACUUUUCGUUUUCGUGUUCGUGCACUUGCCAAAGGCCAAAAAGUUGGCAACGUGUUGGAUCUACCACAAAAACAAGAGCUGGACCCAGAAAACACGGUGGCGAAUUCAGCUUAAAUAGAAGCGUUAAAAUAUUGCCAACAUUUCCGCGCUUUCGGAGCAAGGAGCAAAAACCAAAAAAUAAAAUGUAAUGGACUGGGGAAACAAGUUAGGACGGCUGCCUCUGGACCGAGAGCAGCUGAUCCUGGCCAAGGCUUUUACACUUGCGACUUGAAGCGGAAAUUAUGUAAAUUUAAGUGUUGGCCACUGCCACGCCGCCCAUCUCACAUCGCCCAUUUUUGAGCAAUGAAAACAUGAAAGCAAAAAUCCAAACCAAAAAAAAAAAAAAAAGGAGCGCUGAAAAGAUGCCAACAAAUAACCAAUAAAAAGCAACAAGCAACGAGCCAGUUGGGGGCGAAAG
ensembl:ncRNA lncRNA:CR44518 long non-coding RNA:CR44518